GACGAACGCUGGCGGCGUGCUUAACACAUGCAAGUCGAACGAAGAGCGAUGGAAGCUUGCUUCUAUCAAUCUUAGUGGCGAACGGGUGAGUAACGCGUAAUCAACCUGCCCUUCAGAGGGGGACAACAGUUGGAAACGACUGCUAAUACCGCAUACGAUCUAAUCUCGGCAUCGAGGAUAGAUGAAAGGUGGCCUCUACAUGUAAGCUAUCACUGAAGGAGGGGAUUGCGUCUGAUUAGCUAGUUGGAGGGGUAACGGCCCACCAAGGCGAUGAUCAGUAGCCGGUCUGAGAGGAUGAACGGCCACAUUGGGACUGAGACACGGCCCAGACUCCUACGGGAGGCAGCAGUGGGGAAUCUUCCGCAAUGGACGAAAGUCUGACGGAGCAACGCCGCGUGAGUGAUGACGGCCUUCGGGUUGUAAAGCUCUGCUAAUCGGGACGAAAGGCCUUCUUGCGAAUAGUGAGAAGGAUUGACGGUACCGGAAUAGAAAGCCACGGCUAACUACG
rnacentral:rRNA from 1 species